rnacentral:rRNA from 1 species
CAGCCACACUGGGACUGAGACACGGCCCAGACUCCUACGGGAGGCAGCAGUGGGGAAUAUUGGACAAUGGGCGCAAGCCUGAUCCAGCAAUGCCGCGUGGGUGAAGACGGCCUGCGGGUUGUAAAGCCCUUUCAGCGGGGAGGAAAAGCACACGGCUAAUAUCCGGGUGUCUUGACGUUACCUGCAGAAGAAGCACCGGCUAACUCCGUGCCAGCAGCCGCGGUAAUACGGAGGGUGCGAGCGUUAAUCGGAAUUACUGGGCGUAAAGGGCGCGUAGGCGGCCUGUUAAGUCGGGUGUGAAAGCCCCGGGCUCAACCUGGGAAUGGCAUUCGAGACUGGCAGGCUAGAGUGUGGUAGAGGGAAGUGGAAUUCCAGGUGUAGCGGUGAAAUGCGUAGAUAUCUGGAGGANCNCCGGUGGCGAAGGCGGCUUCCUGGACCAACACUGACGCUGAGGUGCGAAAGCGUGGGUAGCAAACAGGAUUAGAUACCCUGGUAGUCAA